rnacentral:rRNA from 1 species
GAUGAACGCUGGCGGCGCGCCUAACACAUGCAAGUCGAACGAUUAAAGCACCUUCGGGUGUGUAUAAAGUGGCGAACGGCUGAGUAACACGUGGGCAACCUGCCCCUUUCAUUGGGAUAGCCACGGGAAACCGUGGAUAAUACCGAAUACUUCGAGACUUCCGCAUGGAAGACUCGAGAAAGCUCCGGCGGAGAGGGAUGGGCCCGCGGCCUGUUGGCUUGUUGGUGGGGUAACGGCCUACCAAGGCAAUGAUGGGUAGCUGGGUUGAGAGACCGACCAGCCAGAUUGGGACUGAGACACGGCCCAGACUCCUACGGGAGGCAGCAGUGGGGAAUCUUGCACAAUGGGCGAAAGCCUGAUGCAGCGACGCCGCGUGCGGGAUGAAGGCCUUCGGGUUGUAAACCGCUUUCAGCAGGGACGAGGCGAAAGUGACGGUACCUGCAGAAGAAGCCCCGGCUAACUACGUG